rnacentral:rRNA from 1 species
UACGAAGGGGGCUAGCGUUGCUCGGAUUUACUGGGCGUAAAGGGCGCGUAGGCGGACAGUUAAGUCGGGGGUGAAAGCCUGGGGCUCAACCUCGGAAUUGCCUUCGAUACUGGCUGUCUUGAGUACGGGAGAGGUGUGUGGAACUCCGAGUGUAGAGGUGAAAUUCGUAGAUAUUCGGAAGAACACCGGUGGCGAAGGCGGCCAACUGGACGAGUACUGACGCUGAGGCACGAAAGCGUGGGGAGCAAACAGG